UGGGGAAUAUUGCACAAUGGGCGAAAGCCUGAUGCAGCAACGCCGCGUGAGUGAUGAAGGUCUUCGGAUUGUAAAGCUCUGUCUUUUGGGACGAUAAUGACGGUACCAAAGGAGGAAGCCACGGCUAACUACGUGCCAGCAGCCGCGGUAAUACGUAGGUGGCGAGCGUUGUCCGGAUUUACUGGGCGUAAAGGGUGCGUAGGCGGAUGUUUAAGUGAGAUGUGAAAUACCCGGGCUUAACUUGGGUGCUGCAUUUCAAGCUGGAUAUCUAGAGUGCAGGAGAGGAGAAUGGAAUUCCUAGUGUAGCGGUGAAAUGCGUAGAGAUUAGGAAGAACACCAGUGGCGAAGGCGAUUCUCUGGACUGUAACUGACGCUGAGGCACGAAAGCGUGGGUAGCAAACAGGAUUAGAUACCCUGGUAGUCCACGCCGUAAACGAUGAGUACUAGGUGUAGGAGGUAUCGACCCCUUCUGUGCCGCAGUAAACACAUUAAGUACUCCGCCUGGGAAGUACGAUCGCAAGAUUAAAAC
rnacentral:rRNA from 1 species